rnacentral:tRNA from 1 species
CUUUGGCCGAGUGGUUAAGGCGGCGGCCUGCUAAGCCGUUGGGCCCUUCGCAGCAGAUCGCUCUCGAGUCGAGAGUCUCGA